rnacentral:RNase_P_RNA from 1 species
CCUUUGUGUUGGAUGGUCGCUCUUUUUGCUUCGGCAGAAAGGGAGGAAAGUCCGAACACUUAUUCGAUGAAAGUCGAAACAGGUAGCGGGUAAUGCCCGUCUGGAGUAAUCCACGAGGUGCGAGCAGAGACGCCGUGAUCCGAAAGGGUCUGGCAUCCCAGGACAACUUGGGAUGAGCUUGUCUGGCAACAGACGAGGUGAAACGGCUAAAUCCUUACCCGAGUGCAAGGCCGUACCCUUGUGCGGAGCACAAGGAAAUUCGAAGCACGAAGCACUAAAUUCUAAACAAUAUCUAAAUUUCAAAUCAUAAACCAUAAACGAAAUCCGUUUAAAAUUUAGAUUUUUUGAUAUUUCAAGAUUUGUUUAGUAUUUAGGGUUUCGAAUUUAGGAUUUCCUUGUGCUCCGCACAAGGGGGUGCCGCUUGAGCUUUGUGGUAACACAUCGCCCAGAGUAAUGACUAUCCAUGUGACGCAAGUUGCAGGACAGAAUUCGGCUUAUAGGCACAAAGCGUAU